ACUCCUACGGGAGGCAGCAGUGGGGAAGUAUUGCACAAUGGGGGAAACCCUGAUGCAGCCAUGCCGCGUGUGUGAAGAAGGCCUUGGGUUGUAAAGCACUUUCAGUAGGGAGGAAGGUAGUGUAGUUAACACCUGCAUUAUUUGUACGUUACCUACAGAAGAAGCACCGGCUAACUCCGUGCCAGCAGCCGCGGUAAGUACGGAGGGUGCGAGCGUUAAUCGGUAAUUACGUGGGCGUAAAGCGCAUGCGAGGCGGCCUGUUAAGUCAGAUGUGAAAGCCCGGGGUCUUAACCGUCGGAAUUGCAUUUGAAACUGGCAGGCUAGAGUCUUGUAGAGGGGGUUAGAAUUUCGAGGUGUAGCGGUGAAAUGCGUAGAGAU
rnacentral:rRNA from 1 species